rnacentral:rRNA from 1 species
AACGCGAAGAACCUUACCUGGGCUUGACAUCCCUUGACAAUCUUAGAAAUAAGACUUUGUAGCAAUACACAAGGAGACAGGUGCUGCAUGGCUGUCGUCAGCUCGUGUUGUGAAAUGUUGGGUUAAGUCCCGCAACGAGCGCAACCCCUGGAUUUAGUUGCCAGCAUUAAGUUGGGCACUCUAAAUCAACUGCCAGCGUUAAGCUGGAGGAAGGUGGGGAUGACGUCAAGUCCUCAUGGCCCUUACGCCCAGGGCUACACACGUAAUACAAUGGAUAGGACAAAGGGUCGCGAACCAGCAAUGGGGAGCUAAUCUCAAAAACCUAUCCUCAGUUCGGAUUGGGGGCUGCAAUUCGCCCCCAUGAAGGCGGAAUCGCUAGUAAUCGUGGAUCAGAACGCCACGGUGAAUACGUUCCCGGGCCUUGUACACACCGGAGUGC